ACACUGAUAGCAAUCUUCUCUCAACUGUAAGGCAAAAGCAGACGAGUCUGAGUUCAUGAUGUCACCAUUUAAAGUCCAAAGCAAUGUCGAUGGAUUACAGCGUCCACUGACCAGGACAGUUUGGUUGGGAGUAAAGCUUCCAUCUCCAGUUACGUUGACUCUAGCGACUACAGUGGUGGUCCUCGCUAAAGAGUUGCAUAACGCCAGAGCGAUUUAUUGGAGGACAAAACUGAGCAGCUACUUGAUAUUGAAAUUGAGCUAGGAUCAGCCCUUGAGCUAAAAGAGACAAAAGUAAAAGGUUUGACAUAGCUAGGCCAAAUAGAAGUAGAAUCCACAGCCUUCACUUCUCCUUUAAUAUAUCUUGCAAAUGAGUUCACACCUAUAUAAUGUAGAUCUACUACCCACGCCAUAGAUUUCUUUUAUUAAAAAAAUAAUGAAGUUCAUCUAAAACACCAUCAACAUGAACAAGUGAGUCUUCCACAACACAAAA